GUGCAUGUACCAUAUAGUGGAGUCUGUGACACGCGCAGAGAGCACGUCGAUUCCUUCCGACAGUACCUGUCCAGUAGUUGGGCCAGCUGUGCGAUGGUUUCAUACACU